GUGGGGAAUAUUGGACAAUGGGCGAAAGCCUGAUCCAGCCAUGCCGCGUGUGUGAAGAAGGUCUUCGGAUUGUAAAGCACUUUAAGUUGGGAGGAAGGGCAGUAAGUUAAUACCUUGCUGUUUUGACGUUACCAACAGAAUAAGCACCGGCUAACUUCGUGCCAGCAGCCGCGGUAAUACGAAGGGUGCAAGCGUUAAUCGGAAUUACUGGGCGUAAAGCGCGCGUAGGUGGUUUUGUAAGUUGGAGGUGAAAUCCCCGGGCUCAACCUGGGAACUGCCUCCAAAACUGCAUGGCUAGAGUACGGUAGAGGGUAGUGGAAUUUCCUGUGUAGCGGUGAAAUGCGUAGAUAUAGGAAGGAACACCAGUGGCGAAGGCGACUACCUGGACUGAUACUGACACUGAGGUGCGAAAGCGUGGGGAGCAAACAGGAUUAGAUACCCGGGUAGUCC
rnacentral:rRNA from 1 species